rnacentral:ribozyme from 13 species
AAAAAAUAAUAAAUAAAAAUGAAAAAAAAAUGAAAAAGAACACUUCGGGAUAUCUUCUUCUUUCCUCUUUCUUUCUUCUUUUCUUUUUUCUUUUUCUUUUUUCCUUUCUUUCUUAAA